UACGUAGGGUGCGAGCGUUAAUCGGAAUUACUGGGCGUAAAGCGUGCGCAGGCGGCUUUGCAAGACAGAUGUGAAAUCCCCGGGCUCAACCUGGGAACUGCAUUUGUGACUGCAUGGCUAGAGUGCGGCAGAGGGGGAUGGAAUUCCGCGUGUAGCAGUGAAAUGCGUAGAGAUGCGGAGGAACACCGAUGGCGAAGGCAGCCCCCUGGGCUAGCACUGACGCUCAGGCACGAAAGCGUGGGGAGCAAACAGG
rnacentral:rRNA from 1 species